GGGGGUAUGGCGGAAUCGGUAGACGCUGUAGAUUUAAAAUCUGCUGACCGUAAGGUCGUGGGAGUUCAAGUCUCCCUACCCCCA
rnacentral:tRNA from 1 species